AGUGAACGCUGGCGGUAGGCCUAACACAUGCAAGUCGAACGGCAGCACAGUAAGAGCUUGCUCUUACGGGUGGCGAGUGGCGGACGGGUGAGGAAUACAUCGGAAUCUACUUUUUCGUGGGGGAUAACGUAGGGAAACUUACGCUAAUACCGCAUACGACCUACGGGUGAAAGCAGGGGAUCUUCGGACCUUGCGCGAUUGAAUGAGCCGAUGUCGGAUUAGCUAGUUGGCGGGGUAAAGGCCCACCAAGGCGACGAUCCGUAGCUGGUCUGAGAGGAUGAUCAGGCCCACUGGGACGUGAGAACGGUGCCAACCCCCUAGGGGGGCGGGGGGGGGGAAAUUUUGACAAAGGGGGGCAAGCCUACCCCACCCAUCCCGGGGGGGGAAAGAAGGCCUUCGGGUUUUAAAGCCCUUUUUUGGGGAAAAAAAAGCAGCAGGUUAAACCCCCGCUUUUUUGACGGUCCCCAAAAAAAAAGCACCGGCUAAUUUCGG
rnacentral:rRNA from 1 species